rnacentral:rRNA from 1 species
UACGAAGGGGGCUAGCGUUGCUCAGAAUUACUGGGCGUAAAGGGCGCGUAGGCGGAUGACUAAGUCGGGGGUGAAAGCCCGGGGCUCAACCUCGGAACUGCCUUCGAUACUGGUCAUCUUGAGUACGGGAGAGGUGUGUGGAACUCCGAGUGUAGAGGUGAAAUUCGUAGAUAUUCGGAAGAACACCAGUGGCGAAGGCGACACACUGGCCCGUUACUGACGCUGAGGCGCGAAAGCGUGGGGAGCAAACAGG